GGAAAUGGCAUUGAUGCCAGAACUGCAUGCCACAAGGGACAUUAUCAAACUGGGGCAGAAAAUUUUCCUUCCAUUUAGAAAAUUUUCUGGAAGUCAGGUACCCCCAGCUUAUAACAUUUUACCCCCAACAGGUAAGUAAAUAAUUCCUCAACAGUGUUGUCCCUAGCAGUUGCAAGGGGUCCAACACAAGGUUGGAAAGUCGGUAUCCUCAGCGAUUAGAUUUCAAAGGAGGAGGCUAUUAAUAAUAAUAAUAAUAAAUAAAUAAAUAAAUAAGAAAAAAGGAUAAUAAUGAAAAAAAAGGGGAAAAUUCAUCCCAAUCCCCAGCAAGUAUUCGAGGUAAGACAUUUCAAGUCUUAAGGAUAUGUUGGGUUAAUCCGCCCUCAAAUAGGAUCUGUUGGGUUAAUCCGCCCUCAAAUAGGAUCUGUCGGGUUAAUCCGCCCUCAAAUAGGAUCUGUUGGGUUAAUCCACCCUCAAAUAGGAUCUGUUGGGUUCAUCCGCCCUCAAAUAGGAUAUGUUGGGUUCAUCCGCCCUCAAAUAGGAUAUGUCGGGUUCAUCCGCCCUCAAAUAGGAUAUUUUGGGUUCAUCCGCCCUCAAAUAGGAUAUGUUGGUUUCAGUCUUUAUUUUCAAGUGUUGAAGUUGGGAGCCCGCCCCGAUAACAGAGGCAUAAAUUCAGUCUUUAUUUUCAAGUGUUGAAGUUGGGAGCCCGCCCAGAUAACAGAGGCAUAAAUUCAGUCUUUACUUUUCAAGUGUUGAAAUUGGGAGCCCGCCCAGAUAAUAGAGGCAUAAAUUCAGUCUUUACUUUUCAAGUGUUGAAAUUGGGAGCCCGCCCAGAUAAUAGAGGCAUACAUUCAGUCUUUACUUUUAAGUGUUGAAGUUGGGAGCCCGCCCAGAUAACAGAGGCAUACAUUCAAUUUUUACGUUUCAAGUAUUGAAGUUGGGAGCCCGCCCAGAUAACAGAGGCAUACAUUCCACGUCUUUACCCAUAGGAGAUGCAUUUCCUCCUAAG
rnacentral:lncRNA from 1 species